GGAGGCUACAGCUCAGUGGUAGAGCACACGCUUAGCAUGCAUGAGUGCCUGGGUUCAAUCCUCAGUACCUCCA
rnacentral:tRNA from 1 species